AGUGAACGCUGGCGGUAGGCCUAACACAUGCAAGUCGAACGGCAGCACAGUAAGAGCUUGCUCUUACGGGUGGCGAGUGGCGGACGGGUGAGGAAUACAUCGGAAUCUACUUUUUCGUGGGGGAUAACGUAGGGAAACUUACGCUAAUACCGCAUACGACCUACGGGUGAAAGCAGGGGAUCUUCGGACCUUGCGCGAUUGAAUGAGCCGAUGUCGGAUUAGCUAGUUGGCGGGGUAAAGGCCCACCAAGGCGACGAUCCGUAGCUGGUCUGAGAGGAUGAUCAGCCACACUGGAACUGAGACACGGUCCAGACUCCUACGGGAGGCAGCAGUGGGGAAUAUUGGAAAAUGGGCGCAAGCCUGAUCCAGCCAUACCGCGUGGGUGAAGAAGGCCUUCGGGUUGUAAAGCCCUUUUGUUGGGAAAGAAAAGCAGCAGGUUAAUACCCCGCUGUUCUGACGGUACCAAAAGAAUAAGCACCGGCUAACUUCGUG
rnacentral:rRNA from 1 species